rnacentral:rRNA from 1 species
UACAGAGGAUGCAAGCGUUAUCCGGAAUGAUUGGGCGUAAAGCGUCUGUAGGUGGCUUUUUAAGUCCGCCGUCAAAUCCCAGGGCUCAACUCUGGACAGGCGGUGGAAACUACCAAGCUGGAGUACGGUAGGGGCAGAGGGAAUUUCCGGUGGAGCGGUGAAAUGCGCAGAUAUCAGGAGGAACACCGGUGGCGAAGGCGGUGGGCUGGGCCGGCACUGACGCUGAGGAGCGAAAGCGUGGGGAGCAAACAGG